UCAUGGCUCAGAUUGAACGCUGUAGGCAUGCUUUACACAUGCAAGUCGAACGGCAGCGGGGGCUUCGGCCUGCCGGCGAGUGGCGAACGGGUGAGUAAUGCAUCGGAACGUGCCCAUGUCGUGGGGGAUAACGUAUCGAAAGGUACGCUAAUACCGCAUACGUCCUGAGGGAGAAAGCGGGGGAUUCUUCGGAACCUCGCGCGAUUGGAGCGGCCGAUGUCGGAUUAGCUAGUAGGUGAGGUAAAGGCUCACCUAGGCGACGAUCCGUAGCGGGUCUGAGAGGAUGAUCCGCCACACUGGGAGUGAGACACGGCCCAGACUCCUACGGGAGGCAGCAGUGGGGAAUUUUGGACAAUGGGGGCAACCCUGAUCCAGCCAUGCCGCGUGAGUGAAGAAGGCCUUCGGGUUGUAAAGCUCUUUCGGCCGGGAAGAAAUCGUGGUCUCUAACAUAGGCCAGGA
rnacentral:rRNA from 1 species